rnacentral:rRNA from 1 species
UACAGAGGUCUCAAGCGUUGUUCGGAUUUAUUGGGCGUAAAGCGUCCGCAGGUGGCUAUUCAAGUCUGCUGUCAAAGCUCGGAGCUUAACUCCGAAUCGGCGGUGGAAACUGAACAGCUAGAGUGCAGUAGGGGUAGAGGGAAUUCCCAGUGUAGCGGUGAAAUGCGUAGAGAUUGGGAAGAACACCGGUGGCGAAAGCGCUCUACUGGACUGCAACUGACACUCAGGGACGAAAGCUAGGGGAGCGAAUGGG